GGAAAAUAAAGAAAGGGAAAAUAAGUAACAUCAUAGCAGUGUGAAACAAAUGCAUGUGGAAAGGGAAGAAUGCUCAGAAUCGCAGUUCCAGAAGUGAUUUUUCAAAAUGCUAUUUUGGAAGACUCAUGGUUCCGCCAAUAUCUCACCCAACAAUAACACGAAUCUGCUCAGAUUCAAGCUCACGAAUUCACCCAUCUCUCACUCGAAUUUACAGCAUAGUUUUCGUUUCAAUUUCGGUUCAGCUUAUGCGUUUCAAAAUUCGAUUUGGUUUGUGCAUUUGGAUUCAGAGUUUCGCCCCAAUUUCCGUGUUGAUUCAAUUCUAAAUAUGACUCAGAUUUUGGAUUAUGGUCAACUUGAUUCAGAGUUCAAGUUUAAAUCCAGUAAGCUAUGAUUGGUGUGCGAUUAUAAACAACAAGCAAAUAACAACAAUGUAUGGGAAGAAGGGGUUUCGAGGAUUACCAACGGAUUGGAGAUUUCCUCCGGUCAGUAUCAUAUUUCCACCGCCGAUGAGUAGAAGAAAAACCUAGAUAUUCAAAUAGCCUCAAAUUGAUGAAGAAUGAUAUGGAUGCAACUUCUGUAUCUGGCUUACUCUUCAAAUUUCUUUCAUGGAAUGGAUUUAUGUAAAGGAAAAUGAUAAAUAACCUUCAAGGUAAGAAGCAGCAGUAUACUCGAGUACACUGGAUUUAUUAGAAUAUUCAUUGGAUCGGAGAGAGCACCAAAUACCAAAUCAGACAAACUAGGUGCAACACUUUGGUGUAUGGACAGGAUGACCACCUUUGUACUUGGUAGAGCUACUUCACCCAAUAUAUCAUCUUAUAAUUUUCAAUGUAUGGAAUAAAGCUAUGAAAGUGGUUUGUCCAACCUGAAGCAUGCCUGAACAGUAGCACUAUGCUUUUGGCAUAAAGCUCAAUUCAGGUGAAUUUAUAUCCUCCUAUUUGCCAACACUAGCAAGUGAAUCUUCAAUGUCUGGCUCUCCUUGAAGAAUGGAGUCAGUAAAAGUAUCAUCUGAUAUUUUUUAUUUCUCGAUUAGAAGAAUGUAGACAUUUUCGGUUGUUUAUUCGAAGAAAAUCGUUCAAGCUGGUAAGACAUCCCUGUCAAGAGUUUGUUAUAUGCAUCAAAACCUAAAAUCCAAGUAGGAUUUACCACUAGAAUUCCUAAACUUAAAGACUUGAGGUUCUUAAUUUUACUGUCAAGAAGAUUGCCACAGACUAUAUACGUUACAUGAUGCCUUAAGUGUCCAUUCAGAACUUUCAGCUAGAACUUUCUUAUGCUUGAAACUUGAAUUAUCAACAACUUUAGCCAAAUGAUUUCGACACAUAGAUUCUUGGUUGUGACAAUCUGAACAAUUGGAAGAGUUAUCCCUACCAAACUUGGAGGAUUUCGAACAGGUAUGGCAUGCUUACCGGCGACAUGAGCAUUAAUAACCUUGGGAAAAGUAUCCUUAUCCAUUGCCACUUGAUUGCUUAAGUUAUCAACAUCAGAUUUUGAAGAUGAAGGAGAUUCACCCUGAGAAAUAACUUGAGGAGUUGAAUAUGGCUCACACCGAUCUCGUUUUCUCAUUCUCGAAUAUGGUCGACAUGUUGGCGGGCAACAAGAUCCUUUAACAACAUUGUCAUAUCCCAUUGUAUGACAAAAAUUGUAUCCCUUUCCCAAGAUAUCUCUUCAUAGACUAGUUGAAUAUACAGUUGCACUUGCGAUAUUGCUUGCUCUAACUGUGGUAUCUGUUGUCACAGAUCAUUCACAACAGACUUGUGGGAAAAGGGGUGAAGGAAUUGAAGAAAAAUGGAAGACAUGGGAAAUGAAAGCAUAUUGUCAAUGGAGAUUCCAAACCUUAAGAAAUCUUUGAUGUUAGCAUAUGCCGAUGUUGCGUUGUAUUGUAAAGACUAUGAUGAUCCAAAUGUAUUAGCUACUAUGUAAUCUCCAGCAAAUGCUGAAUUAGUUUCAGCUAAAUGACUGAUAGUGUUAUUCAAGAAAUGGGACUGAAACCUCACUGAACAACCAAAGUUAUUCCUUUUGUGGUAAGAUUUGAUGCAUGACGUUUUAAAGCAUGCUAUGCAGCAUCCAUGACAUCUGACUCGGUCACUGUUAUCGGAUCUAUGUCAAACAUUUCAACAUUAUUGAUUAAUAAGUAGCCAUACUCUCUAAGGAACCAUAUUUCAACACGAACAAAAGUUUCAUAUUCUGUUGACGUCUGAAACAACUUGUAUAAUGCUUUUACGGUGUAUCUAUGAAGCUUGGAAG